UACAGAGGUCUCAAGCGUUGUUCGGAUUCAUUGGGCGUAAAGGGUGCGUAGGCGGCGCGGUAAGUCGGGUGUGAAAUCUCGGAGCUUAACUCCGAAACUGCAUUCGAUACUGCCGUGCUUGAGGACUGGAGAGGAGACUGGAAUUUACGGUGUAGCGGUGAAAUGCGUAGAUAUCGUAAGGAAGACCAGUGGCGAAGGCGGGUCUCUGGACAGAAACUGACGCUGAGGCACGAAAGCUAGGGGAGCAAACAGG
rnacentral:rRNA from 1 species